rnacentral:rRNA from 1 species
GUGAGGAAUUUUCCGCAAUGGGCGAAAGCCUGACGGAGCAAUGCCGCGUGAAGGAUGAAGGCCUAUGGGUUGUAAACUUCUUUUCUCAGAAAAGAAUUAUGACGGUAUCUGAGGAAUAAGCAUCGGCUAACUCUGUGCCAGCAGCCGCGGUAAGACAGAGGAUGCAAGCGUUAUCCGGAAUGAUUGGGCGUAAAGCGUCUGUAGGUUGUUUAAAAAGUAUUCUGUCAAAGAUUAGGGCUUAACCCUAGAUAGGCAGAAUAAACUUUUAAGCUAGAGUGUGGUAGAGGCAGAGGGAAUUCCCGGUGGAGCGGUGAAAUGCGUAGAUAUCGGGAGGAACACCAAAGGCGAAGGCACUCUGCUGGGCCAGUACUAACACUGAGAGACGAAAGCGAGGGGAGCAAAUGGGAUUAGAUACCCUUGUAGUCC